GUGGGGAAUUUUGGACAAUGGGCGAAAGCCUGAUCCAGCAAUGCCGCGUGCAGGAAGAAGGCCUUCGGGUUGUAAACUGCUUUUGUACGGAACGAAACGGUCCUGGCUAAUAUCCGGGGCUAAUGACGGUACCGUAAGAAUAAGCACCGGCUAACUACGUGCCAGCAGCCGCGGUAAUACGUAGGGUGCGAGCGUUAAUCGGAAUUACUGGGCGUAAAGCGUGCGCAGGCGGUGCUGUAAGACAGGCGUGAAAUCCCCGGGCUCAACCUGGGAAUUGCGCUUGUGACUGCAGUGCUGGAGUGCGGCAGAGGGGGAUGGAAUUCCGCGUGUAGCAGUGAAAUGCGUAGAUAUGCGGAGGAACACCGAUGGCGAAGGCAAUCCCCUGGGCCUGCACUGACGCUCAUGCACGAAAGCGUGGGGAGCAAACAGGAUUAGAAACCCGGGUAGUCC
rnacentral:rRNA from 1 species